UACGUAGGGUGCGAGCGUUGUCCGGAUUUACUGGGUUUAAAGGGUGUGUAGGCGGACUAUUAAGUCAGUGGUGAAAUCCCGAGGCUCAACCUCGGAACUGCCUUUGAUACUAUUAGUCUUGAAUGUUGUUGAGGUGGGCGGAACGGGUCAUGUAGCGGUGAAAUGCAUAGAUAUGACCCGGAACACCGAUUGCGAAGGCAGCCCGCUAAGCAACUAUUGACGCUGAGGCACGAAAGCGUGGGGAUCAAACAGG
rnacentral:rRNA from 1 species